GAUGGAUCAUGAUCGAGUCAUGGGAAACAGUCGUUACCGUUAUGAGGAGGAGGAGGAGGAUCAUCAGUCUGUCUACAUUGGUGUGCCAGUGCCCCAAGGCUACCGUCGCAAGCGCAGGAGGAGACGUUCGUCCAUGUUGAGUCGUGAUGCAGAUGUAGAACGAAGACUUAGACAUGAUCAUCAGAGACACGAACGCUAUGACUGUGAUGACAGAGACCGCUACGAUCUCGAAGCAGAAGGCCUGGAUCAGCCAGAACACAAUCUGCCACCAGAAAUCAACAGAACCAGUGAGUCCUUAAUCAGUUCCCAAAAGAGCUUAAAGUCAUUCAUGUUAGUGAUUUGUAAAGUGUGUAUCAUCAUUGUAUGAUUAUGUCUUGUGACUUAGGAUAUAAAUGUAAAACUUUACUAGCACAGAACUUUCCACACACUUCUAUAUAGUCAACAGACUAGUGAUAACAAAGGCAAUAGACUCAAGGUAAUGUGUCUGAAAGUGAGAAUGCAAAUUCAAGGGGACCAUAGGGAGCAAAACUGCCAUACAUUUCUUUGUUUGUGUGUGUGAAAUAGAGUUGCGCUCGGUUUAUCAGAUACACCCCGCACCCUCACUCUCAAUAUCGUGAUGUGCCGAGGGCAGGAUAGAGCCGUCAAUGCAGAAAAGAAGACCAUGAAAAACAAUUAUGGUGAUGCGUCUCUGAACGCUUGAGAAUAAACUACUUGCGAGGCAUCAAAGUUUGCAGUCAGCACUGAAUAGAGAAAUAAACACACGUUCAAAGAAAACAGUUUUCAUCUGUCACUUUUAUGCUAAAUGAUGGGCCAAAUUUGUGUCAAAACAAAAUCGCAUGCUAAAUAAGACUAUUAAUGAGUUCUGAUUACAUUCAGAAUAGAGCGGAUCAGUAAUCCCAGUGAAGAUUUAGAAAUAGCCAUGGAUUUUCUAGGGAAUUUCAAAUGGGUUUUUAGAGAGGUGGGAUUUGAUUUAUGAAGAAAACUUUUUUUUUUUUAGGAUAUACAAUUACACCUCAAACAUGAAUUUUGAAGUGGCUGUGUUUUUUAGAUGCUAACAUGUGUUAUUUUUUAUAUUAUAUUUAUAUACUAUUAUAGUAGUUAAUUAGUGAAUUAGCUUUCAUUUGUAUAUUUCCA
rnacentral:lncRNA from 1 species